rnacentral:rRNA from 1 species
CAAGUCGAACGAUGAAGCCCAGCUUGCUGGGUGGAUUAGUGGCGAACGGGUGAGUAACACGUGAGUAACCUGCCCUUGACUUCGGGAUAACUCCGGGAAACCGGGGCUAAUACCGGAUAUGAGCUACCUUCGCAUGGGGGUGGUUGGAAAGUUUUUCGGUCAGGGAUGGGCUCGCGGCCUAUCAGCUUGUUGGUGGGGUGAUGGCCUACCAAGGCGACGACGGGUAGCCGGCCUGAGAGGGCGACCGGCCACACUGGGACUGAGACACGGCCCAGACUCCUACGGGAGGCAGCAGUGGGGAAUAUUGCACAAUGGGCGCAAGCCUGAUGCAGCGACGCCGCGUGAGGGAUGAAGGCCUUCGGGUUGUAAACCUCUUUCAGCAGGGAAGAAGCGCAAGUGACGGUACCUGCAGAAGAAGCGCCGGCUAACUACGUGCCAGCAGCCGCGGUAAUACGUAGGGCGCAAGCGUUGUCCGGAAUUAUUGGGCGUAAAGAGCUCGUAGGCGGUCUGUCGCGUCUGGUGUGAAAACUCGAGGCUCAACCUCGAGCUUGCAUCGGGUACGGGCAGACUAGAGUGCGGUAGGGGAGACUGGAAUUCCUGGUGUAGCGGUGGAAUGCGCAGAUAUCAGGAGGAACACCGAUGGCGAAGGCAGGUCUCUGGGCCGCAACUGACGCUGAGGAGCGAAAGCAUGGGGAGCGAACAGGAUUAGAUACCCUGGUAGUCCAUGCCGUAAACGUUGGGCACUAGGUGUGGGGCUCAUUCCACGAGUUCCGUGCCGCAGCAAACGCAUUAAGUGCCCCGCCUGGGGAGUACGGCCGCAAGGCUAAAACUCAAAGGAAUUGACGGGGGCCCGCACAAGCGGCGGAGCAUGCGGAUUAAUUCGAUGCAACGCGAAGAACCUUACCAAGGCUUGACAUGCACGGGAAGCCACCAGAGAUGGUGGUCUCUUUGGACACUCGUGCACAGGUGGUGCAUGGUUGUCGUCAGCUCGUGUCGUGAGAUGUUGGGUUAAGUCCCGCAACGAGCGCAACCCUCGUCCCAUGUUGCCAGCGGGUUAUGCCGGGGACUCAUGGGAGACUGCCGGGGUCAACUCGGAGGAAGGUGGGGAUGACGUCAAAUCAUCAUGCCCCUUAUGUCUUGGGCUUCACGCAUGCUACAAUGGCCGGUACA